GAUGAAUGCUAGCGGCAGGCUUAAUACAUGCAAGUCGAGGGGCAGCAGGGGUGUAGCAAUACACCCGCUGGCGACCGGCAAACGGGUGCGGAACACGUACGCAACUUACCCAUAACUGGGGGAUAGCCCGGGGAAACCCGGAUUAAUACCUCGUAACAUUGUGAAGUGGCAUCACUUUACAAUUAUAGCUCCGGCGGUUAUGGAUGGGCGUGCGGCUGAUUAGGUAGUUGGCGGGGUAACGGCCCACCAAGCCUGCGAUCAGUAACUGGUGUGAGAGCACGACCAGUCACACGGGCACUGAGGCACGGGCCCGACUCCUACGGGAGGCAGCAGUAAGGAAUAUUGGUCAAUGGACGCAAGUCUGAACCAGCCAUGCCGCGUGAAGGAUGAAGGUCCUCUGGAUUGUAAACUUCUUUUAUAUGGGACGAAACCCGGGUAUUCCUACCCGAUUGACGGUACCAUAGGAAUAAGCACCGGCUAACUCCGUGCCAGCCGCCGCCGUAACAC
rnacentral:rRNA from 1 species